UGCGUAGGCGGUUCAUUAAGUCGGUUGUGAAAUCCCUGGGCUUAACCUGGGAACUGCAGUCGAUACUGGUGGACUAGAGUGCGGUAGAGGGUGGCGGAACUCCGGGUGUAGCGGUGAAAUGCGUAGAUAUCCGGAAGAACACCGAUGGCGAAGGCAACCACCUGGGCCUGCACUGACGCUGAGGUACGAAAGCGUGGGGAGCAAACA
rnacentral:rRNA from 1 species